AGCCCCAUAGUUCAUCGGUUAGAAUUCAGGACUCCAAAUCCUGCGAGGUCGGUUCGAUUCCAACUGGGGCUGCCA
rnacentral:tRNA from 5 species